GGUUUACCCAUUGGUCAGGCUUAAUUGACUGUACUGGUGAGAUAAAUCUCUACCUUCUGAGGAACUCUCAUGCCAUUUAUUUGGUGUGGUUGGAAAUCAGGACUGUUACUUUGAAAAAUUAGAGUGUUUAAAGCAGGCUAGCGUCUGAAUACAUUAGCAUGGAAUAAUGAAAUAGGACGGACUGAUUCUAUUUCGUUGGUUUCUAGGAUCACCGUAAUGAUUAAUAGGGAUAGUUGGG
rnacentral:rRNA from 2 species